CUGAAGUUACAUCCUGACACACCUGACCCCAUUGCGGCGCCUCUGGAUGACAUGGCGGUGGUGAGGAUGGGGCCCAAGGAGCACGGUCGGGAGGCGGUUCUCGAUGCUGUGAUCACUCCUAGUAUCUCCUACACACAGCUUCGUCGGAUGGACCCGAGCCUGAGCCAGCGCACGAGCCAGCCAAUGACUAGUACACAGUCCCUCUUUCAGGAGCAACAAUCUGCCUACCUGGAGUACACACGCCAGGAGACCAUGGCGUGGCAUCAGAGGCUUUAUGAACACCAAGUGCAGAGGGAUAAUCAG
rnacentral:rRNA from 1 species